GGUGGCUCAGUGGUAGAGCGCUUGGCUUGCACACAUGAGGUCCUGGGUUCGAUUCCUCAGCACCA
rnacentral:tRNA from 1 species